rnacentral:rRNA from 1 species
AGAUCGAACUGUAGAGUUUGAUCCUGGCUCAGAUUGAACGCUGGCGGCAUGCCUUACACAUGCAAGUCGAACGGUAACAGGUCUUCGGAUGCUGACGAGUGGCGAACGGGUGAGUAAUACAUCGGAACGUGCCCGAUCGUGGGGGAUAACGAAGCGAAAGCUUUGCUAAUACCGCAUACGAUCUACGGAUGAAAGCAGGGGACCGCAAGGCCUUGCGCGAACGGAGCGGCCGAUGGCAGAUUAGGUAGUUGGUGGGAUAAAAGCUUACCAAGCCGACGAUCUGUAGCUGGUCUGAGAGGACGACCAGCCACACUGGGACUGAGACACGGCCCAGACUCCUACGGGAGGCAGCAGUGGGGAAUUUUGGACAAUGGGCGAAAGCCUGAUCCAGCCAUGCCGCGUGCAGGAUGAAGGCCUUCGGGUUGUAAACUGCUUUUGUACGGAACGAAAAGACUCUGGUUAAUACCUGGGGUCCAUGACGGUACCGUAAGAAUAAGCACCGGCUAACUACGUGCCAGCAGCCGCGGUAAUACGUAGGGUGCAAGCGUUAAUCGGAAUUACUGGGCGUAAAGCGUGCGCAGGCGGU